GACGAACAGUGCGAACGUUGUUCGGAAUCACUGGGCUUAAAGGGCGCGUAGGCGGGCUGUCCAGUCUGGGGUGAAAUCCCGCGGCUCAACCGUGGAACUGCCUCAGAUACUGACGGCCUCGAGGGAGAUAGGGGCAUGCGGAACUGUAGGUGGAGCGGUGAAAUGCGUUGAUAUCUACAGGAACUCCGGUGGCGAAGGCGGCGUGCUGGAUCUCUUCUGACGCUGAGGCGCGAAAGCUAGGGGAGCAAACGGG
rnacentral:rRNA from 1 species